GAUAUGCAGGGUUAACUACUGCGAUGUUGAAUCACCUGAAUAUAUGAGACCACUGCCAAGACAUUCAGUUUUUAAAGAAGUAAGCUGAAGAACCACACACUCAGCACCACAAAAGGAGAGAUGCAAAGAGCAAGUGUUGUCACAGAUCGCAUGGCAAGAGCUGGACAACUGCUUCGAUUCUGUGGAGCAAGAAUGUAACAGCAGCAUUGCUAACAUACACUCAGAGAAAGGCCUGUUUAGCUGGGGUUAAACAGAUGCCUAACUGGAAAAUGUACUGAAAGAACAUUUUUUAACGCUCAAAGCUGCAUUUUAGUAGUUACAGAAAACCUGUAGUGUUGCUUUAUACAAACUUACCAUUCUCAGGGGUCAUUAUCUGACUUAAAUUGCAGAGUGGAAUUUGCAUAAUUAUAAAACUGUAUAAUGCAGCUUUGACAAUCUAUGUUUUAUGUCAGCACUAUAAAUUACUUGAGAUGAAAUGGAACAAACCAUGAGAUAGUGCAUUCCAUUCCUUC
rnacentral:lncRNA from 1 species